UACGUAGGGGGCAAGCGUUACUCGGAAUUACUGGGCGUAAAGCGUGCGUAGGUGGUUUGUUAAGUCUGUUGUGAAAGCCCCGGGCUCAACCUGGGAAUGGCAAUGGAUACUGGCAAGCUAGAGUGCGGUAGAGGGUAGUGGAAUUCCCGGUGUAGCGGUGAAAUGCGUAGAGAUCGGGAGGAACACCAGUGGCGAAGGCGGCUACCUGGACCAGCACUGACACUGAGGCACGAAAGCGUGGGGAGCAAACAGG
rnacentral:rRNA from 1 species